rnacentral:misc_RNA from 1 species
ACCAGACUAUGCUCUUGUUAUCUGCUGUUAUUGGGCCUAUGAUAUGACAUGUUAUUUAUGAAGUAGUAGAAAAUGAAUUGGAGCUGUGUGUUGUAUCAUGAAACACUUGAGAUGCCAAUGGAUGAUUAGACUCAAGGAAUAGGGACCACAAUAGGAAUGGUAACAAGGAACAAAUACAAAUUUAUUAAGUCUCAGCUUGAGAAACAACAACUGGCACCUAAUGCAGAUUCGUGCCACAAAGUAAUCAAAGCAUUCAUAGUAUAUUGUUCAUUUUAAAGUCAAAAAUCAUAGAGUUGGGGUUGGAGUUGUCAUCUGGGACCCUUAUUUGUUCUUUUUUUAAAAGGUCAAGUUCGUAGUAAUAUAUGUAUCCCACUCUAACCAACUAUUAGCUUCUAUUCAUUAUUUUUUUUUUCAAAAACAAAUCACAUGCUCUACUUAACUGGACAAACAAAGAACAAUAUUAAAAUCCAUGUUCACCAGAUCAUUUAGACUUUUCGGAUUUCUCUUAGAAAUCUACAUCCUGCAACACAGGCCACAUGAUAUGGCCAUGAUUUUGAUAGUGGUUUAUUCCCAUCACUGUGUAUAUUAUCUAUGCGACAGAAAAAAGAAACAUUACAAGGCAGGAUGCCACCUUUGAACGUAACUGCCUGUCUUUUUGCUAAGUAACUUCAAUUAUUUGCCAAAUUUGGUUUGAUUUCUUUUCUAAAGCCUCAAAUUGUUCCUGCUAUGAUGGGUCUCACAUCACAUGCCUCUCCUGCCAUUCAAGGCGUAUUAUGGUUGAAAAAUAGCUAAACCUUCCCAAGUUGUGCACAAACCUAAGACAGAUCUGAAUCUACUUUGCGUAAUAAUAAAGGACAUAGGUUGUUCCAUUGAAAAUCAGCUACUUAAUAUUACUCCCAUGUGAUUCAGAUCCCACUAAAGUGUGUGAUUAUUUUGCUUGGCAACAUAAUAAAUCCCCUUGCCCUUGUGUCUCCCAGCAAAUAUA